rnacentral:sRNA from 1 species
UCAAGGUAAUGCAUGGCGUUCAUGCUUGCAUGAUAAGCCAUGCAUUACUUUGACGAAUGAACAAACAUGAGCAAGUAACAGGGGAUGUACGUUUUGUGUACAUCCCCUGUGUAUUGCGAAUGGUUGUAGGAUCGCGGGAGUGCGUAGCACGUAGCGAUCCGCAGUAU